UGGCAGACGGGUGAGUAACACGUGGGAACAUACCCUUCGGUUCGGGAUAACUCAGGGAAACUUGAGCUAAUACCGGAUACGUCCGCGAGGAGAAAGAUUCAUCGCCGGAGGAUUGGCCCGCGUCUGAUUAGCUUGUUGGUGAGGUAACGGCUCACCAAGGCGACGAUCGAUAGCUGGUCUGAGAGGAUGGCCAGCCACAUUGGGACUGAGACACGGCCCAG
rnacentral:rRNA from 1 species